AGGCUAUCAUUGCGUCUGCCAUGCACACGCAGUGAGCUCACACACGCAUGCGCGCGGAUCCGUGACACGCCCUCCUUUAUGGGCUUCUGUUUCAAGGGUGCUUUCCUGUCGGCCUGUUUCUUGGCUUCGGUGUACGUACUGCUUUGCCUUUGCCUGUGACGCUCUCUCCUGUGUGUGUGUGUGUGUGUGUGUGUGUGUGUCGGCGCAUUCGGUAUCUGGCUCGCUCUUCGCCCAUCUCUGACUCCGCUGCACACCUCCUACACACUCGCUUCGCGUUGUGUUUUCAUGUAUGCUAUCACUCCGGUGAGUGCUCGUUCCUCACACGUUUCCCCUCUCUCGGCUUCGGCCUCGUCCAAGUCGUUGCCAUAGCGGACUCGCUUCCCGAGUCGACCCACCGACCCACCCACUUCGAAAAAGCCUGGAGGAAGAGAGCAACGCUCCUCCAUUCAACCUCCUUUCGAAUACACAAGCACACUUACUCACACAGGAAACGGGAGCAAAACAUAGGCCGCACCGCGUGCGCACGCUCCUCUGUUUUUUUUUGUUUUCGUUUGCAGGGGGGCGGUCUGACGCUGCGAUUUCAGUCUCCUCGUCGUUCCGCUGAUUCAACUCACUGUUUCUCACGCACUUUCCUCCCCUCUCCUCCUCUCUCCUUUUUUUGCUCUCCCUCAUCGCGCCGGAUCUAAAAUUGUGGCCAAACGCUCGUUUUCACGUUUGCCAUUCUGUGCGUGCGCUUCACACCACCACACACGCUUUCCCGCCCUUAUACCGGCACGAACGCACUCACACGCUGACGAGACACGUGCAACAG
rnacentral:misc_RNA from 1 species